ACUGAUUUCAAAUGACUAAAAGCCAUGUAAUAAUUAUCCCAUGCAACUGUUAGGAAGGGCGAAAUGUUUAACGGAGGACGAAAAUCCUAAAGGAAAGGUGAAGUCAGUUCUAAAGGGCGGCGAAUUUCCUAAGAAUUUCGCCUCCCAGGAGGGCGAUAUUACUAGGAACUUCUCCCCCUGGAGGGCAAAAUUGUAGGGGGAGGGGGUAAAAUUCCAAGACACCGGAUUGCUCGUCACAACAUCUCUUUUGCCGUUAAGGAGCAAUGCAAAUGAUAGUUGCAAAUGAUAGUUACAAAUGAUAGUUGCAAAUGAUAGUUGCAAAUGACAGGAUUAGCAUGUUUAUUUGGGUCUCUGAGUUUAAAAAUCUUCACAGCCUUUCAAUACCUGCAAAAUUUGACCCGCUCCGAUAGCAAUCUGGUAUAGUGUAAACGAAGGCUAAUUUCCCCCCUAUAAUGGGCUGCUACCUUGCCGUUGUGUGCCUCGAUGUCCCCAACGCACCGCCUAUGCUGGCAGGAAAGUGGUGGAAAGAAUAAUAAUAGGA